rnacentral:rRNA from 1 species
UACGGAGGGGGCUAGCGUUGUUCGGAGUUACUGGGCGUAAAGGGUGUGUAGGCGGUUCUUUAAGUUUGGUGUGAAAUCUCCCGGCUCAACUGGGAGGGUGCGCCGAAUACUGAGGGACUAGAGUACGGGAGAGGAAAGUGGAAUUCCUGGUGUAGCGGUGAAAUGCGUAGAUAUCAGGAGGAACACCGGUGGUGUAGACGGCUUUCUGGACCGACACUGACGCUGAAACACGAAAGCGUGGGUAGCAAACAGG